rfam:Myotis davidii contig227794, whole genome shotgun sequence.
GGUGGUUCUUGGGUGAUGCACCCCAGAAUGGGGCUCCCUCCUCUCUGGUUCUGGGGUACAUCACCUGAGAACCGCC